rnacentral:rRNA from 1 species
CCCGCCGGCGACCGGCGCACGGGUGAGUAACACGUAUGAAACCUGCCCGUAGCAGGGGGAUAAGCGGAAGAAAUUCCGUCUAAUACCGCGUAACAACCCGAGGAGGCAUCUCCUCGGGUUUAAAGGAAGCGAUUCCGGCUACGGAUGGUCAUGCGUCGCAUUAGCUAGUUGGCGGGGUAACGGCCCACCAAGGCGACGAUGCGUAGGGGUUCUGAGAGGAAGGUCCCCCACACUGGUGCUGAGACACGGACCAGACUCCUACGGGAGGCAGCAG